GGCGACUUGUCGGGGAGCCCCGGCACGCUCGAGGAGUCGUGCACGGGGGCUGAGAUCGGUACGGCCGAACCCGUUGAACCUGAUCAGGUUGAUGCCUGCGGAGGGAACAAGGGAGUGUCACGC
rnacentral:ncRNA from 1 species